rnacentral:rRNA from 1 species
UACAGAGGGGGCAAGCGUUAUUCGGAAUUAUUGGGCGUAAAGGGCGCGUAGGCGGCAUGGCAAGUGGAAGGUGAAAUCCCUCGGCUUAACCGAGGAACUGCCCUCCAAACUGCUUUGCUUGAGGCCGGGAGAGGCGAGUGGAAUUCCCAGUGUAGCGGUGAAAUGCGUAGAUAUUGGGAGGAACACCAGUGGCGAAGGCGGCUCGCUGGACCGGUUCUGACGCUGAUGCGCGAAAGCGUGGGGAGUGAACAGG